rnacentral:rRNA from 1 species
AACGACAUCGAAAGCUUGCUUUUGAUGGGCGUCGACCGGCGCACGGGUGAGUAACGCGUAUCCAACCUGCCCACCACUUGGGGAUAACCUUGCGAAAGUAAGACUAAUACCCAAUGACGUCUCUAGAAGACAUCUGAAGGAGAUUAAAGAUUUAUCGGUGAUGGAUGGGGAUGCGUCUGAUUAGCUUGUUGGCGGGGUAACGGCCCACCAAGGCUACGAUCAGUAGGGGUUCUGAGAGGAAGGUCCCCCACAUUGGAACUGAGACACGGUCCAAACUCCUACGGGAGGCAGCAGUGAGGAAUAUUGGUCAAUGGACGAGAGUCUGAACCAGCCAAGUAGCGUGCAGGAUGACGGCCCUAUGGGUUGUAAACUGCUUUUAUAAGGGAAUAAAGUGAGUCUCGUGAGACUUUUUGCAUGUACCUUAUGAAUAAGGACCGGCUAAUUCCGUGCCAGCAGAACGCGGUAAUACGGAAGGUCCGGGCGUUAUCCGGAUUUAUUGGGUUUAAAGGGAGCGUAGGCCGGAGAUUAAGCGUGUUGUGAAAUGUAGAUGCUCAACAUCUGCACUGCAGCGCGAACUGGUUUCCUUGAGUACGCACAAAGUGGGCGGAAUUCGUGGUGUAGCGGUGAAAUGCUUAGAUAUCACGAAGAACUCCGAUUGCGAAGGCAGCUCACUGGAGCGCAACUGACGCUGAAGCUCGAAAGUGCGGGUAUCGAACAGGAUUAGAUACCCUGGUAGUCCGCACGGGAAACGAUGGAUGCCCGCUGUUGGUCUGAAUAGGUCAGCGGCC